UUCGUGGUCAAGCUACUAAGGGCGAACGGUGGAUGCCUUGGCGCCAGGAAGCGACGAAGGGCGUGGCUAGCUGCGAUAAGCCUCGGGGAGCCGCAAGCAGGCUUCGAUCCGAGGAUGCCCGAAUGGGGAAACCCGGCUGGGGUAAUGCCCAGUCGUCCGCCACUGAAUCCAUAGGUGGCGUGACGCGAACCGAGGGAACUGAAACAUCUCAGUACCUCGAGGAAGAGAAAGAAAACUCGAUUCCCUGAGUAGCGGCGAGCGAAAGGGGAACAGCCCAAACCGGAUUGGCGAAAGCCCGUCCGGGGUUGUGGGGCGCUGGUAGGGGAACCCCGGAGAGUUACCAAAUCAGGCGAUAGUUGAAGGCUCUGGAAAGAGCCGCCACAGAAGGUGAAAGCCCUGUAGACGAAAUCGCGCUGAUCUCUCUGGCCAGCGUACCCGAGUACCACGGGACACGUGAAACCCCGUGGGAAUCCGGAGGGACCACCCUCCAAGGCUAAAUAUUCCCUGGCGACCGAUAGUGAACCAGUACCGUGAGGGAAAGGCGAAAAGAACCCCGGUGAGGGGAGUGAAAGAGAACCUGAAACCGUUUGCCUACAAGCGGUGGGAGGGCUAUGCCGUCGCAAGACGGAAGGCCUGACCGCGUGCCUUUUGCAUAAUGAGCCGGCGAGUUACUUCUGCGUGGCAAGGUUAAGCCUCAAAGGGGCGGAGCCGUAGCGAAAGCGAGUCCGAACAGGGCGCCCAGUCGCGCGGAGUAGACCCGAAGCCAAGUGAUCUACCCCUGGCCAGAGUGAAGCCGGUCUAAACACCGGUGGAGGCUCGAACUCAUUUCGGUUGAAAACGGAUGGGAUGAGCUGGGGGUCGGAGUGAAAGGCUAAUCAAACUUGGAGAUAGCUGGUUCUCCCCGAAAUAGCUUUAGGGCUA
rnacentral:rRNA from 1 species